GACUCUAGACUUAAACACGUACGUGUACAUAAGCAGCAGCCCGGGAACCAAGUCAUCAUCUGACAUUCCGCAGUGAGAUAUGGCAUCGAGUAGCAGCAGCAGCAGCAGUAGUAAUAGUAAAAGACGCUUUGGCUGGAAAAUGGAGAAGGUCAUCCCGGCCCUCCUCAUCCUGACAAUCCUCGUGGGCGCUGGAAAGAAUCUCAUUUCCAGGAGAGAAGAUACGCCGGCGAACGAGGCACCGGUGCAGCCACGGGAGGAGAUCCGUAACCUGGACGCUGAGAUUCCUCUAGAGGUCAAGGGCAGAGUGGCAGAGGUCACGGUCGAGGAGGGAAACGAACAACGAUAGGUCGGGAAUGACUCUGUUCUAUAGAGAGGCGAACCCGCCAGCAGAUGUCCCCGCUAGUGGCGUGUCGUUCCUGCUGCUGCACGGAGCCGCGUUUUCGUCUGAGACCUGGCUGACUCUCGGCACGAUACAGCUUCUAGCAGCCAUGGGACAUCGCGUCGUCGCCGUCGAUCUACCAGGCUUUGGUAAGAGUCAGGGACCGGGUCAGAUCUCCCCGAUACGCACCGUACAGUUCCUCUGUCACUCCCUCCCUCUCU
rnacentral:lncRNA from 1 species